GUUCUACUCGUACAAAGAAACUGUAAUUAUUAUCACCAGACAAUUAAUAUAAUGACACCGAGAACCUAUGAAUAUAAAAUAAUAAUAAUAAAGUCUUUUUUAUUUCUAUAUCCUUAAGUUCCAUUUCAAAUAUUGUUAAUAUUACUUAUAGCUAAAUGUUAGUAGUAAUAAGUCGCCUGUGAAUAUGUACCCCUCUUGGUUGAAGGACUCCCCCAACCCUUACCAAAUGUCUCCAUAUUUACCUCCAUCCUUAUGUAAUAGUCUGCCAAGCUUUUCCUGCGAUUUCUUUCAAGUCAUCUGCCAACCAUCUAUUUGGCCUGCCCACUCUUCUAUUCCCGGGUGGUAACUUCCGUUGUGUUUUCUAUAAUGUGCAUGUGUUGUGAUAGGGGGUCGUUUUAUUUUCUUUUUUUUCUGACUUGGUGUCUGACACUUUUGAUUUGGUGUAUCUUCUUUUUAUUAAAUAUACUUCUUCUUCUGACUUUUGAAUACCCAAAGUUUGCCAAUCGUUUAACAUAGAAUAAAAAAAAAUAUUUAUUCAUAUAGGUACACUGUACACUUAUGAACGUCAAAAAAUAAAUAUACAUUAAAUGCUUCUAAAUUUACAUUUCCUAAAGUAUUUGUAUCUUUUACAUUAAUUUUCGAGAAAUAAUUAAUAAAUCUAAAUCAAAUCAAUUUAUCAAUGCAAUAGACUCAAUUUAAACUAUUAUGAGCGGUGAUUCGAAAUUGUAUGAAAUUUCAGCGAAUCGAUGCAGCUAUGAUAUUUGUUAACUGAGUUGACGUCAAACACGACGUCAAAAAAAAUGAAACAAAAUGUCACGCUACUUUAGACUUAAUAUCGUUACACUAAUGAAUAACUUGAAGCAUAACAUUCGUUUGGAAAAUACUUGAUACUUGGACAUUGCAUUAUUUAUUCGAAAAAACUAUUUUUUUUUUAAAUCCAUCUGCAAUCAGAUUUUAUGAAACGAUGGCAAUUAGGGAACGCAAAUCCAAUAAUUUUUUAUUUCCCUCCGUUUUCGUAAGCUAUCAAACUGUGUCGUUUCCAACAGGCCCGAAGCCAGGGGGUUGACGUGUUGCUGAUAAAAAUUUAGUAUUUUAUUUGCAAAACAAUUUGGGGCCCCCGCCCUCCACCCCUUUGUUGCCCGAGGUCGCCAGACCUCUAUCCGGCAUUAAAGCGUUAGAGCUUCAUUAGCUUCAGUCGAAAAAAUAGUCAUGAAUCAAUACGUUGUCUUUGUUUUAAUUAUUCUCAGUGUACAAUUUAUGCACGAACUGGACGCAGAAUAUAUUGCCAAUAUAUCAAAAUGUCCUAUUGGGACAAAUAGAGCGCCAUGGGGUGAAUGUAUCAGUUGUAUUAGAUUCCAUGAAAUAUUUGGUUACGACGGGGAGAACUGCUAGUGAUUUAUCAAGAAGAGAUUAUAAAUAUAUUUUAAAAUAAUCUAUAAACUGUAUAGUAAAUUAAAUGAAGAUCAAGGAUUAAAUCAAAAUCAAAAAUAUGUA